AUAUUGGACAAUGGGCGAAAGCCUGAUCCAGCCAUGCCGCGUGAGUGAUGAAGGCCCUAGGGUUGUAAAGCUCUUUUGUGCGGGAAGAUAAUGACGGUACCGCAAGAAUAAGCCCCGGCUAACUUCGUGCCAGCAGCCGCGGUAAUACGAAGGGGGCUAGCGUUGCUCGGAAUCACUGGGCGUAAAGGGUGCGUAGGCGGGUUUCUAAGUCAGAGGUGAAAGCCUGGAGCUCAACUCCAGAACUGCCUUUGAUACUGGAAGUCUUGAGUUCGGGAGAGGUGAGUGGAACUGCGAGUGUAGAGGUGAAAUUCGUAGAUAUUCGCAAGAACACCAGUGGCGAAGGCGGCUCACUGGCCCGAUACUGACGCUGAGGCACGAAAGCGUGGGGAGCAAACA
rnacentral:rRNA from 1 species